GGUCCUAUGGCGCAAUUGGUUAGCGCGUCCGGCUGUUAACCUCACAAUGUUCUUGUGGGUUGGUGGUACCGGGAGGUCGAAAGUUCGAGCCUUUCUAGGACCG